ensembl:piRNA 21ur-800 ncRNA
UAAUAGUGCAAUUGGUCCUCA